CCUACGUGUGGCAGCAGUGGGGAAUAUUGGGCAAUGGAGGCAACUCUGACCCAGCAACGCCGCGUGAGUGAUGACGGUCUUCGGAUUGUAAAACUCUUUAAUUGGGGACGAAGAAAGUGACUGUACCCACAGAAUAAGCCUCGGCUACCUACAUGCUAGCCGCCGCGGUAAUACGUAGGAGGCAAGCGUUAUCCGGAAGGACUGGGCGUAAGGGUUGCGUAGGUGGUUGGUCAAGUCAGUAGCGUAAUUCCGGGGCUCAACUUCGGAACUGCUCCUAAAACUGUUGGGCUUGAGUGCAGGAGAGGUGAAUGGAAUUCCUAGUGUAGCAGUGAAAUGCGUAGAUAUUAGGAGGAACACCAGCGGCGAAAGCGAUUCACUGGACUGUAACUGACGCUGAGGCACGAAAGCGUGGGGAGCAAACAGGAUUAGAUACCCCAGUAGUC
rnacentral:rRNA from 1 species